rnacentral:rRNA from 1 species
UACGAAGGGGGCUAGCGUUGCUCGGAAUCACUGGGCGUAAAGCGCACGUAGGCGGAUUCCUAAGUCGGGGGUGAAAUCCUGGAGCUCAACUCCAGAACUGCCUUCGAUACUGGGAAUCUUGAGUCCGGAAGAGGUGAGUGGAACUGCGAGUGUAGAGGUGAAAUUCGUAGAUAUUCGCAAGAACACCAGUGGCGAAGGCGGCUCACUGGUCCGGUACUGACGCUGAGGUGCGAAAGCGUGGGUAGCAAACAGG